rnacentral:piRNA from 1 species
UGCUUAUACGGGUGGAGAUCAUGCA